UUUGUAAAGUUGUUCUAGUUUUGUAACUAAAAUGGUUUGGCAGUGAGCGAUUCUUAUUAGGGGAAUAUGCAUAGUGAAGGAUGGUCCACCUAUUAGUUUACUCUUUUUAUGUUGGUGUAUGUCUGGUUUGAUAUUAUUGUUGAAUAAUUUAAGUUUGUGUAGUUUUAGUUAAGCUAAGUCUAUGUGCUGCUUAUUGGAGUUUUUGUGUGUUACAUUAAUAAGGGUGUUAUUGUAAGAUGAUGUGAUUUAGG
rnacentral:rRNA from 1 species